rnacentral:piRNA from 1 species
UCAGGGUGUUCUGCUCAGCUAGCAACUGA